AGGACGAACGCUGGCGGCGUGCUUAACACAUGCAAGUCGAGCGGAAAGGCCCUUCGGGGUACUCGAGCGGCGAACGGGUGAGUAACACGUGAGCAACCUGCCCUUAGCUCCGGGAUAGCUCCGGGAAACCGGAAUUAAUACCGGAUAUGACCUAGGCCGACAUCGGCUGUGGUGGAAAGUUUUUCGGCUGGGGAUGGACUCGCGGCCUAUCAGCUUGUUGGUGGGGUAAUGGCCUACCAAGGCGACGACGGGUAGCCGGCCUGAGAGGGCGACCGGCCACACUGGGACUGAGACACGGCCCAGACUCCUACGGGAGGUAGCAGUGGGGAAUCUUGCGCAAUGGGCGAAAGCCUGACGCAGCGACGCCGCGUGGGGGAUGAAGGCCUUCGGGUUGUAAACCCCUUUCAGCAGGGACGAAGCGAAAGUGACGGUACCUGCAGAAGAAGCGCCGGCUAACUACGCGCCAGCAGCCGC
rnacentral:rRNA from 1 species